rnacentral:misc_RNA from 1 species
AGUUGAGUUGAGUUGUAUAAAAUACAUGGAGCCCUCUUCAAUACCCAUGAAUUUUUUACCCAAGACUUGCACUGCUGCAGAAGGCACAGGCUAUUGAAAGCAAAACAUGUAACAGAAAGGAAAAGUUGGUAAGCAAAUCAUAAGGAUUACCGUUGAGUAAAGUAACAGGAAGAACUUACCACAUCUCUCCAUUUCUUAAUUG